GUUUUGUUGAAAACUAUCAGCGUCGAUCGGUGUAACGAAAUUGACAGUAUAGAGCAAUUGUGAGUCCAUCUUAGAUAGACUAUUCGACAAAAAAGAUAAAAUGGACGGAAAGUUGAUAUUACUAGUAACCAUUGUGCUUUCUGCGGCUGCCGUGGUGCAAGGAGGACUUCCAUGUGUAGACUUCUGGUCAGAAGUGUGCGGCAGUCGGUCGGGUUAUAAACGUUCAUCAGCGGACAAAACAGAUCUCUCAGGUAACCCAUCAUCCGCGUGGGAAAAGUUUCUUCGAGUCGCUGCAGCCCGGCUAGUAGCGGAGAGGCUUGGAGUGUCUCCAUACACCGACAACGCCGAUGUAAACGCUGAGGAUAUAAAGCUUCGUAAUUUUUAAUAGCCACUUUAGAAAGGUGGCCCGCAGCUGUUUGAUUUUGCUUUUAUGGUUUCUCUGUAUAUUAUAACCGACCCGAGCAUCAUAAGUCCGGAUUUCCAAUUUUUUUUAAAUGUGGCAUUUCAAAAGGGUUUUUUAUUGAAACACAUAUUAAGUCGGCUCGGCAAUCUGUAAAAGCAACCAAUUAUUCUAUCAUUCUAAAGCUUCGCUAAUGAUCGUCCAAACAUACGCCUUUUUUUUCUUUACUUGACACAAAAGCUGGCGGCUUAGCUUGCCCCAAUUAAAGCUAAUAUGUCUGAGUUAUGAAUACAUAUAUAUAAUAUCUGAUGUUUAAUAACUUGACUGUCCGUAAUAACGUUCUUUCUCAAAAAAUCAAGUUUUACAAAUCAAAUGUCUGGGAACUUCAGAUUGAUAUAUUGCAGGCUGGAUUAAAGGAUUUCAGUAACCCUGUCGGAUAACAUGCGAACCAUGGUGAAUUGGGAGGUUGAAAUGUGAAUGAUAUACUACAAGGGUUUAGUCAGAGGUUAUUCAUAUUAUAGCAAACAUAUUGUGUGCGGAAACUGGAAUUAGUCACAACUUUCUGCAACAGGCCAACUGAAAAUGACAAAAAUCCGACGCAAUAUUUAUUCUGUGCCGUAUUUGUACUGUUUAAUUUUAUUCCGAAAUAAUAAAAAGAAAAUUCAGUGUGAUA